rnacentral:lncRNA from 1 species
GCAGUAUCCCCAGGGAGCUCAUUAGAAAUGUGGAAUCUCGGGCCCCAUCUCAGACUAACUGAAUUGGAAUUUUUGUUUUAAUGAGAUCCUUAGGUGAUUGAGCAACACUGGGUAGCAAAUACCUUAAAGAUGUCUUGAGCAUAUUUUUUAAUUCUUCCUUCAUACUCUUAGUUAUUAAAUGUGUGUCUGGUUUAAAACUCCAGUCUCAGUUCCAAGGCACGCGUUUUCUAGCUGAAGUUGUGACUCAGGAACUCUGAACAUGGAAGUUGUUUAGUUUUCGACCAGUUCUUUCCUUUUCUUUUAAAGGCCCAUUCCCUCUGGUAUUGGGGACUGGAAGGGAAAUUAGAGAAGAAAGGGAUAAGUUUCUCUUGACUGGAAGAGUCUUACUGCUCCGUGGAGAAUAGAUUGAAGGGAGCAUCCAAGAUAUUUGAGACUCAAGAGGAGGCAUCAGUUUGUUUCCAGGAACAUGCUGACUACAGGUGGAAAACAUACCUACAAGGUAUCCAUUACAGGUGACAGAAGAAUGGAGCAAUGUGAUGCCUGGCGCCCUUCACACCUGGAGACCAACAUCCCUGGACCACCUCCUCACUCCCCAUUUUUCCUAUAUAACCACCUCAAGAUUAUGUAAUUUUUGAAGAUGGUUUUUUUUUUUUUUUUAAAGAUUUUAUUAUUUCCUUUUUCUCCCCAACACCCCCCGGUACAUAGUUGUAUAUUCUUUGUUGUGGAUUCUUCUAGUUGUGGUAUGUGGGACGCUGCCUCAGCGUGGUCUGAUGAGCAGUGCCAUGUCCGCGCCCAGUAUUCGAACCAACGAAACACUGGGCCGCCUGCAGCGGAGCGCGCGAACUUAACCACUCGGCCAUGGGGCCAGCCCCUGAAGAUGGUUUUUUUUGACAUUAGUCUUGCCAUCUUCCCGAUUAUGCUAGCUAAUCAAAACUUUCUCGAUCUCUAACUCAUUGUGAUUAAUUGGCUCAGAUCCUGGCGAGCAGAGCAAGCCCAUUGCUUGGUAACACUACCUUAUCAGUAUUACAUAUUAACCUUACUUCCUCUUUUGCUACCAGUAUCAGUUAGGAUUCAUGAUCUC